rnacentral:lncRNA from 1 species
UCCCGGCUCCCGAGUGCGUGGUGGCGAACGGCCGGGCCUCGAAGAUGUGAUUUUUAAAGUAAAGAUUAAACAUUUGCAGGUACAGAUGGGUGGGUGGCAGCAUAUGCCUUUAGUCCUAGCAUCCAGGAAACAGAAUCAAGUGGAUCUCUGAGUUUUGAGGUCAGCUGGGUGUACAGAGCAAGAUCCAGGACAGCCAAUGAUUCACAGAGAAACCAUGUCUCAAAAACCAAAACACAAAAUGACAAAAUUGCAGGUACACGCUGAAGGCUUUGUGCAAACAGCACCCAAAGCAGAGAUGGGACAAAAACCAAACCUCAAGUCUAGCUCCAGAAGAAACUUGAUGAACGACGCAUUUGGAUUAUGGCAGUAGUCACAUCUUUUGCACACUGGUUAUGAUUUCUACUUUCUCAAGAGGGCUUUGGAAGAGAAUACUAGAAUUUUUCUGUAUUCUUUGUAACUGUUGCUUUUAUCUAGAAAUAAACCAUUCUAUGCCG